ACCACAUCUCAGCCUUUUGGCUAAGGUCAAGUGUAGUGUCUGUUCUUAGCAGUUUAAUAUCUGAUAUGUCCUCUAUCCAAGGACAAUAUAUUAAAUGGAUUUUGGAACUAGUAGAUGGAAUAGGAGCUUGCUCUGACCACUCAACGCAUUGACCUGGUAUUGCAGUACUUCCAGGAAUGGUGCAGCCCCU